UACGUAGGGGGCAAGCGUUGUCCGGAUUUAUUGGGCGUAAAGAGCGUGUAGGCGGCUUGGAAGGUCAGCUGUGAAAACUCGAGGCUCAACCUCGAGACGCCGAUGGAAACCAUCUGACUAGAGUCCGGAAGAGGAGAGUGGAAUUCCUGGUGUAGCGGUGAAAAUGCGCAGAUAUCAGGAAGAACACCCGUGGCUAAGGCGGCUCUCUAGUACGGUACUGACGCUGAGACGCGAAAGCGUGGGGAGCGAACAGG
rnacentral:rRNA from 1 species